AUUGUGCCGCAUGCCAUUCACCAAGUUAAUGAUAGUCAUUGAAGAAUUGCAUUCAUUACAGAAUUUUUGUUAUGCAUACUCUUCUAAAGCAUUGUGAGAAUCUCAUGAGGAAAAAUAAAAAUUUGAGAAACCGUGGGACAAGAAGUUGGUAAAUUAGAAAAUGGGCAAGACAUGAAUUCGCAAUACCUUAUAUUGGUGUUUUUUAUGAAGACUAACAAAGAAUCAAAUAGCCAGAGCAUUUCUAAAAGCAAUGUAGAAUUCUCAAGUUACAUACCGCAAAAACAUAGUGCUGAAUGUUAGUGAGCCCGAAUUCAUUAUGUUUGAUGCCAGACUUGCAUUGAUUCCACCUUUUGAAGUACUAUUGAUGUGAGGAGAGCCUGUCCGAUUUUCUCUUUCUUUUUAAGUUAUAUUCUCAAAGGAUUUCUUUUUAUGUUACACUUACAUUGUAAUGCCACAAUUAUUAUUGGAGAUGGUAUAUGAUGGCCGAGUGAUGCUUAUUAGCAUAGCUAUGAAAACAACCUUGAUCUUUCCUCACCUGCUUAGCAUGGCUCAUGAACUUACACAUGAAUGCUUAUUUGUGUGUAAAGUUGAUGGGAAAAUAAAAGCAAGAAGAGAAGCUUACUACUUGUCUGGAUAACUAAAAGAGGUGAGAGAUGUGAAAUGAACUAAAAAGGCUGAGUUUUUAUUGGUCCAUUUUUGUUUCUCAUCAAAGCUCUCAUUCUGGUGAGAUUUGGUAAGAAACCACAAUCUUUUCUUUUCUCCUUUUCUCACAAUCCGAAGGCCCUGCUAGAGUCUCUCUAUAACACAUUCAACUAAUUGGUAGCUCCCGAAAACAAGUCUAUGCCAUUUUUGCAUUGUGCUACUUUGAGGAUUCUCCUGGUGUAGCGUAAAUGUCCAGACUGCUUUCUGGCGCUUCCCUGUUGGUUAAGCUUGUAGAAGAUCUCCUAGACUACCUCUGUCGUUCUUAUUUACCCACCAGGUGUUUGAAGUUUCGAUUUAAACUUUUGCCUUAUGUGAGUUGGCUGAUUUACGACAAAGGAUUUGCAGCCAAAGUUAAAAUUGCCAGUCUAUCUCCUGCAUAUCAAAUCAAAGACUGGAGCAAAUCGUGACUUCCCAAAAUGCCAUUCUCGCAUUAACAACAGCAAUGUUGCCAUAGAAUGGUGUGGAUCAUGACUGAUGACAGGGGAGCCAGUGACCGAGCCUCGGUGAACGGCGGCCGUAACUGGAUCAUGACUCAUUGGUAUACAAUAAGAAUUUGUAUUCCUAUGUUGCUCUCGACGAUUCAAGAAUAAAUGAUACUUCCUCCUAUGUCUUUUCUCGCCUCACACGUAAAAAUGAUCCUAUAGUAGAUAAAAAUACACCGCGUGGAAUUGCUGAUCUUGAGAACCUAGAACUUGAUACCCCUCUUGGUUUCCAACAACGUUCUUUUCUUGUGAAUUUUUGCAGGAUUUGUCCUUUGGUUCUCACGACAGCAGCUGGCUGGACGUUUUUUAGGAAAACAAUCGUUUGAGCUUGAAAUUUCCAAAUGGGUGCAUCCCAAAUUUGCAUCAUCCGGAAAGAAAAUCACCUUAUUUUGUUUUCACAAACACCUCUGCACUGGUGAAGGGCUGUUGCAUGGAGAAAAAUCAUGCAAGGCCAUAGAGUUGUUUGGAGCCGACUCUGUGAUCAAAGGGGAAGUGACACUACGAUUCAAAUGCCUAAUUCCCUGUGAUUCCUUGUCCCACAGAAACUGUUGAGCUGCCACUAAUUCUGUUGUUUAUUAGUACGUUGAGCGCUAUUACUUCAGUACAGAUCAAACUGCGUCGCUUGUAAAAUAUUGCUCGAGACAGCAUGAUGUGACAAGAAAAUGAUAACUUAGUUUAAAAAUUACGAAAAGAAAGACAAAUGAAGUUAAGAAUUGUGGAA